UAGUGUUAGCUCUGGUCUGUUUGUUUGGUCGUUGUGAGGUUGUCUAUGGUGGGAGUGCGUUGAAGGGAGUGAGUUAUGACGGCCGACCUUUGAUAGUCAAUGGGAAGAGAGAGCUUCUCUUCUCCGGUUCUAUACAUUAUCCUCGUAGUAUUCCUGAGAUGUGGCCAGACAUGGAGGGCUGAAUGUGAUUCAUACUUAUGCGUUUUGGAACCUUCAUGAGCCUGUUCAGGGCCAGGACCACAUGAAAAGGUUCACCAGGAUGAUCAUAGAUAUGAUGAGCAAGGAGAAAUUAUUUGCAUCUCAAGGGGGUCCCAUCAUUCUAGUACCGGUAUUCUGCUGUAACUGAGAAGAACUAUUCCUGAUUUGAAGAGUAGGGGCCAUGGUUGGUAGGUGGUUCUGCGUCUUUGUUGGGUUGAGCAGAUU